rnacentral:rRNA from 1 species
UGGGGAAUAUUGGACAAUGGGCGAAAGCCUGAUCCAGCCAUGCCGCGUGUGUGAAGAAGGUCUUCGGAUUGUAAAGCACUUUAAGUUGGGAGGAAGGGCAGUAAGCGAAUACCUUGCUGUUUUGACGUUACCGACAGAAUAAGCACCGGCUAACUCUGUGCCAGCAGCCGCGGUAAUACAGAGGGUGCAAGCGUUAAUCGGAAUUACUGGGCGUAAAGCGCGCGUAGGUGGUUCGUUAAGUUGAAUGUGAAAGCCCCGGGCUCAACCUGGGAACUGCAUCCAAUACUGGCGAGCUAGAGUAGGGCAGAGGGUGGUGGAAUUUCCUGUGUAGCGGUGAAAUGCGUAGAUAUAGGAAGGAACACCAGUGGCGAAGGCGACCACCUGGGCUCAUACUGACACUGAGGUGCGAAAGCGUGGGGAGCAAACAGG